UUGGAGGGCAAGUCUGGUGCCAGCAGCCGCGGUAAUUCCAGCUCCAAUAGCGUAUAUUAAAGUUGUUGCAGUUAAAAAGCUCGUAGUUGAAUUUCGGGAUCAAAUAAUCGGUCGUGCCUCCGGUACGUACUGGUUUUAUUGGUUCCUCCCUUCUGACGAACCAUGAUGUCAUUAAUUUGAUGUGGUGGAGAAUCAGGACUGUUACCUUGAAAAAAUUAGAGUGUUUAAAGCGGGCUAACGCUUGAAUACAUUAGCAUGGAAUAAUGAAAUAGGACGUUCGACCCUAUUUUGUUGGUUUCUAGGAUCGACGUAAUGAUUAAUAGGGAUAGUUGGGGGCAUUAGUAUUCAAUUGUCAGAGGUGAAAUUCUUGGAUUUAUUGAAGACUAACUACUGCGAAAGCAUUUGCCAAGGAUGUUUUCAUUAAUCAAGAACGAAAGUUAGGGGAUCGAAGACGAUCAGAUACCGUCGUAGUCUUAACCAUAAACUAUGCCGACUAGGGAUCGGAUGAUGUUAAUUUUUUAAUGACUCAUUCGGCGCCUUACGGGAAAC
rnacentral:rRNA from 1 species